rnacentral:rRNA from 1 species
AUUGAACGCUGGCGGCAGGCCUAACACAUGCAAGUCGAGCGAGCGGCGGACGGGUGAGUAAUGUAUGGGGACUGCCCGAUAGAGGGGGAUAACUACUGGAAACGGUAGCUAAUACCGCAUACUAUCGGAUUAACCAUAUGGGAUUCGCUAGUGGGGGAGGUAAUGGCUCACCGAGGCGACGAUCCCUAGCUGGGCUGAGAGGAGGGUCAGCCACACGGGGACUGAGACACGGCCCAGACUCCUACGGAGGCAGCGUGGGGGAAUAGUGCACAAUGGGCGCAAGCCUGAUGCAGCCAUGCCGCGUGUAUGAAGAAGGCCCUAGGGUUGUAAAGUACUUUCAGUCGGGAGGCGUUACCGACAGAAUAAGCACCGGCUAACUCCGUGCCAGCAGCCGCGGUAAUAC